UACGGGAGGCGGCAGUGGGGAAUAUUGCACAAUGGGCGAAAGCCUGAUGCAGCUAUGCCGCGUGUAUGAAGAAGGCCUUAGGGUUGUAAAGUACUUUCAUCGGGGAGGAAAAAACAAAACUAAUAAUUUUAUUUCUUGACGUUACCCGAAAAAGAAGCACCGGCUAACUCCGUGCCAGCAGCCGCGGUAAUACGGAGGGUGCUAGCGUUAAUCAGAAUUACUGGGCGUAAAGAGCACGUAGGUGGUUUUUUUAAAGUCAGAUGUGAAAUCCCUGGGCUUAACCUGGAACUGCAUUUUGAAACUGAAAUACUAGAGUAUCGUAGAGGGAGGUAGAAUUCUAGGUGUAGCGGUGAAAUGCGUAGAUAUCUGGAGGAAUACCUGUGGCGAAAGCGGCCUCCUAAACGAAUACUGACACUGAGGGUGCGAAAGCGUGGGGAGCAAACAGGGAUUAGAUACC
rnacentral:rRNA from 1 species